UACUGUGUAAAGAUUGUUUUGAUUCCAGAUGAUGCGAGGAAGGGCCCAAUACUUGACCAACUUGAAAAUACGGGUGUUUCAGGGCCUACAAAAAGCAGGGAAACAAGAAAUGGAAAACGGUCUCACCGACACGUAAUUGCACAUGAACCACUGAC